CAUCCUCUCUCUCUCUCUCUCUCUCUCUCUCUCUCUCUCUCUGUGAUAAACACCAGCCCCCAGCCCCACGGCGAAAGGUCCGAAAAACAAUGGCGACGGCCACCGUACCAAAAGUCGAAAACCCGAAAAACGCCGUAACUCAAACCGCUGCUCCCAAUUCAACGCCUAGCACAACUGAAGAUCCCCACUGUUCCGCCGCCCCCAUCGCGUCACCAACUCAUGGUGGCGGCGGAGGCGAUAAUCCGAGGGAGGAAAACCCGAAGACAGGAGCGGCAGCGAAGAAUACAGACAGCAGCACGGAAGGAGCUGUAACUGAUAUUCAGAAGAAGUUGAAGCGAGCUGAGCGCUUCGGAAUGCCUGUCCAGCUUUCUGAGCAAGAGAAGCGCAAUACUCGAGCCGAGAGGUUUGGAAUUGGGUCCACCACACAAGGAUCAGAAUCAUCAAAGCAACCAGAGGAGCUGAAGAGGAAGGCUAGAGCAGAGAGAUUUGGGAUUGUCCAGUCUACACCUGUUGACGAGGAAGCAAGGAAGAAGGCUAGGCUUGCAAGGUUUGGAUCGGUUGCCAAGGUCGAUUCAACGGAGGAUGACAAGAAGAAAGCAAGAGCAAUCAGGUUUUCAACAAUGCCACAUCUUCCUUUCAUCCUUAGAUCUUAUUGGGGGAAUGUUCUCACAUCCACAUUCUGGUCCCCUGUCAGGGGCAAAUGAUAAUGGAAACACAGAAUUCAAACCAGCUAUUGCAGGCAAGGCUGGUGGAGGGAUCUAAUUGUUGAUGCCUCCAUUAAAACAGUUGGAAGGUGAGGGUGUUAACUUCUUUUACAUGGCCUUCGCUUGACAUUCAGUAGGAUUCUUGUUCUCUUUAAUUUUGAACUUAGUUAAUUACGGUUUACAUGGUGAGACCUGGGAUUGUGAACAACCACCUUUUUGGAGCUUUUAUAUCUGAAAUGACCUACUGACCAUAUCAAAAACUCUGAAUCAUGCCUGAGAAGAAAAUCGUAUACUUGCCUCAUUCUUUUAUAAUUUGUUGUUAGCUUAGUUGCAUAUGACAACUUAAUCAGAGUAACGUUUCUACUGUUUGUUCAGUGAUGGCUUUAGAAAUAGUUGUUCUGCAGUCUCAUUUUGUAUGUCAAAUCUCUGCUUGGAUUUGAACCUGCAUGUUAUGCUUCUAAACUCAAUGGGUAAUGCAUUUUACAUUCUUGCAUUUUGGGCCUUCAUGCUAGUCAUUGAAAAGGGUAUUUUGGAAAAUAAUCGAUGCAUUUCUAUAUUUUAGUCAUAUUUUAUUUACUGGCAUUAAACAGGAGGACAGGUAGGGUAAAUUUAUGUUUCUUAUUGUGAAAUUCCAUUGUGACGGUUUAUUUCCUUGUUAUGCUUUCGGAGUUGAAUAUUUUGUCUAUUAUUUCAGAGUUUUUGGUAUGGUUGGUCAUUUUUAAACAUCAUUGCUCAGCUGGUGUUUGUCAUUUAUCUAUUGGUCUCACUGGGUGAAUAUCCUUGGGUUGUUGAACGUACAGUCUUCAUUUUUGGCCAGCCUUGUAAGGGAAAACAUACAGUAAUGUUUGCUAAUUUUGUAAAGACGAUUGUGGUUUUUGAAUGUUUUCUUUAUAUAAUUGUAAAAAUUUGAUGUCUGCUUUGAA